rnacentral:rRNA from 1 species
UGGGGAAUAUUGCACAAUGGGGGAAACCCUGAUGCAGCGACGCCGCGUGGAGGAAGAAGGUCUUCGGAUUGUAAACUCCUGUUGUUGGGGAAGAUAAUGACGGUACCCAACAAGGAAGUGACGGCUAACUACGUGCCAGCAGCCGCGGUAAAACGUAGGUCACAAGCGUUGUCCGGAAUUACUGGGUGUAAAGGGAGCGCAGGCGGGAAGACAAGUUGGAAGUGAAAUCUAUGGGCUCAACCCAUAAACUGCUUUCAAAACUGUUUUUCUUGAGUAGUGCAGAGGUAGGCGGAAUUCCCGGUGUAGCGGUGGAAUGCGUAGAUAUCGGGAGGAACACCAGUGGCGAAGGCGGCCUACUGGGCACCAACUGACGCUGAGGCUCGAAAGUGUGGGUAGCAAACAGGAUUAGAUACCCUGGUAGUCCACACCGUAAACGAUGAUUACUAGGUGUUGGAGGAUUGACCCCUUCAGUGCCGCAGUUAACACAAUAAGUAAUCCACCUGGGGAGUACGACCGCAAGGUUGAAACUCAAAGGAAUUGACGGGGGCCCGCACAAGCAGUGGAGUAUGUGGUUUAAUUCGACGCAACGCGAAGAACCUUACCAAGUCUUGACAUCCCUUGACAGGCAUAGAAAUAUGUUUUCUCUUCGGAGCAAGGAGACAGGUGGUGCAUGGUUGUCGUCAGCUCGUGUCGUGAGAUGUUGGGUUAAGUCCCGCAACGAGCGCAACCCUUAUGGUCAGUUACUACGCAAGAGGACUCUGGCCAGACUGCCGUUGACAAAACGGAGGAAGGUGGGGAUGACGUCAAAUCAUCAUGCCCUUUAUGACUUGGGCUACACACGUACUACAAUGGCGUUAAACAAAGAGAAGCAAGACCGCGAGGUGGAGCAAAACUCAGAAACAACGUCCCAGUUCGGACUGCAGGCUGCAACUCGCCUGCAUGAAGAUGGAAUUGCUAGUAAUCGCGGAUCAGCAUGCCGCGGUGAAUACGUUCCC